UUGUUCUUUGGAAAAAAUUUUUUUAACUAGUUGAUAGUGAUGUCAGACAUGCCCCGCACUUACGCAUGCGCGUUGUUUAUAGCUUAGUGCGCAGUGCUGUAGUCAUUAGGUUAGGUUAAGGUACCAUUACAUGCAAGCGUCGGGCAUCAAACAUUUGCGCAGAAACUUAUUGUGCACGAUUCUGAAUUUCCUGAUUCCAGCUUCUUGGUGCAAAAGAUGAUAAGCAUCAAAUGUGAUAUUUACUUGUGGAAUCUGUUUGUCGUAUGUGGAAGAAAAAACUAUUACGUAUCAUAAAUGUGUUCAAGAAUGGCACAGUGUAACAAUAGUGAAAAUGGAGAAUAUUUAGCAAGAAUGACCUGGGAG